rnacentral:misc_RNA from 1 species
GAUGAAGAACGUAGCGAAAUGCGAUAAGUAAUGUGAAUUGCAGAAUUCAGUGAAUCAUCGAAUCUUUGAACGCACAUUGCGCCCGCCAGCAUUCUGGCGGGCAUGCCUGUUCGAGCGUCAUUUCAACCCUCGAGCCCCCCCGGGGGCCUCGGUGUUGGGGGACGGCACACCAGCCGCCCCCGAAAUGCAGUGGCGACCCCGCCGCAGCCUCCCCUGCGUAGUAGCACACACCUCGCACCGGAGCGCGGAGGCGGUCACGCCGUAAAACGCCCAACUUUCUUAGAGUUGACCUCGGAUCAGGUAGGAAUACCCGCUGAACUUAAGCAUAUCAAUAAGCGGAGGG